rnacentral:lncRNA from 1 species
AGAUUAUGAAAUGUAUUUUAAAGCUUUCACGACUUCCUAUUACUGUUCAAAAUUUACAAAAGACAGGAAUUGGGCGUGUAGUCAACAGCUUAAGGAAAUAUGAUGGGCAAAUAGGAGAGUCAGCAAAAUUAUUGGUUGUUCAAUGGAAAAAUGUUGUUAAAAUUGAAGAAUCUGAAAAUUUUUAUCAAAAAGAAAACUCUGAUGAAGAACAUGACGAUGCAUCUUCGGCCAAUGAUAAUGACGAACUACAAAUCAACCAAAAUAUAACAUCUAGUGUUGCAUCUACUAGUUAUUACAACAACAAUAGCAAUGAAACAGGAUUGAAUGAUGAAAAUAAUGGCCAUUCAAGUGACCAUGGUGCAUGUAAAAUUUAUAAUCAUUAUCAAAAUAAUUAUGAUAAAAUAUCAAAGUAUAAAAAAAGUAAAAAGGAUAAAGAUAGCAAAAAACGAAAAGAAUCUAGUUGCAAUUCAACAGAUGAACAAGGAGAUGAAAAAGUCUCUAAGAAAUUGAAGAAAGAUAAUAAGCAUGAAAAUAUCAAAAUUAAAAAAGAAGCUGAUAAAGAAUCUGAAAAAAGUAAAGUUGCGACAACUUCUCAUCAAGAAAAUGGUAAAAAUAAUGAAGUUAACAUUAAAAAGGAAAAAAAAAGUUCACAUUCAGAUAAAAAAAAAGAUAAACAUAAGUCUACUCAUAAAUCUGAAUCAAGGUCAGAAUCAAAGUCUGAAUCAAGGUCAGAAUCAAAAUCUGAAUCAAGGUCAGAAUCAAAGUCUGAAUCAAGAUCUGAAUCAAAAUCUCAUAGGGAUAAACAUGAAUCGAAAUCUGGACAUAGGGAAAAAAAUGAUUCCAAAAAAAAGAGCAAAGAAAAAAGCAAAGAACAUUCUAAACAAGAAUCUAAACCUUCGACUAGUAUUUGUAAGUUUAGCUAUUUAUAUAAAAAUGUACAUUUAUUUCUUACUUAAUGUUAUUUUAGGUAAAACAUUUGAAGAGGCAUUACUAGGUAUAGAAAUAAAUAAGAAAAAAAAAGAUAAAUCAAAGUGUAGAGAUAUAUCAAGUCGAUCAAAUUCUUCAGAAAGGGAAUCGAGUCCUAUUCCAACAGUUAGUUAAUCUUUUAGACACAUCUCCUCAUAUUUUUUAAGAACCAUAUCUAUUUUAGAAUAAUAUAUUACAGAGUAUGCAGUUGGCACCAAUAAAUUUGGAUCCCGAAGAGUUAAUUGCAAAUUAUAAACCAUUACCUCAAUUGGAUAUAAAGAAAAAAAAAUCAUUAGAUGAAAUUGAUGCAUUAGCUACAAGUAUGAAAACAAAAAAUAUGAGGUAUAAUAUACAAAAUUUGUAGUUAUUUUUUUUUUCUAAUUUUCUAAGACAAUAUUUUACAGGACAAAAGUAUACUCUGGAAAUAAAAGCACAAUUUAUACAGAAGUUCCUAGUUUAGCUGAUUGUUGUAUUAAAACUCUUAAAGAAAAUAUUGAUGGUAAAUAUUUCUUCUGGCUUUAUACAUGGUUUUUAUACAUUCCAUUUUGUUUAGAUAUGGGAGAGACUGGUGGUGUUCCAUAUAUGAUACUUGAGCCAGUAUUAAGCCACACUACUCCUGACCAAUUAUAUCAGAUAGAAAAUCAUAAUGGCUAUUUGAUUGAAGAUACUGGACCUUUGUGGGAAUACCACAGCAAGAAAGAAUUCCGUAAUAAAGUUCCAGAAAAAAACGAAACUUGGAGAAAUUUUUAUAUAGUAAUUAAUAAUGCAUUUGCAUGUCUUUAACAAUAUUAGUCCAAAUCCUUAAUUUAAUAGAUACAGUAGACUCCUGAUAAUUCAAUUUAGGGAAUUGAACUGAAAAUUUAAUUUAUAGAAGUUUUCAAUUUAGUAAGAGUUAAAAUAUUUGGGAGGGAGGGAAAUGAAUAAUUCUAAUUAAAGAGAAUUGAACAAAAUAAAUACAUAUUUACUGUUUAAUUAACUUUACAUUAAUUAUUUAUUGUAGGUACAUAUUAUAAAAUAUCAAAAAAAAAUUUAUCUUCUUUGUGACCAAUUUUUGACCACAAUUGUUAUUGCUGUCGGUUAUUUUUCAAUAUUAGAAUUAUAAAUUCUUACUGAAUACUUGUAUGACUAAUAAUUAUAAAUUUGAAUUAUAGAGAUUCUGGCUAAAAUAUUCAAAUUGUAGUAGUUUUUGAAAUACCAAGUCUAUGUAUAUAGAUAAUAUUUUUAAAAUAAAUUUUUUUAAAUCUAAAUAAACAUUUAUCAGGUGUUACUUAAAUUAAUUAAUUUAAAAUAAAGAUUUACAAAAAUUGUAACAUAUAUUUUGUUUUUUCAAGUUAAACUUUUGUACAUCAAAGUAUGAUUCCUGUAGAUAAUUAUUGUUACUAAAGAGGUAUACUAUCUAUAUUAUUUCUCCAUGCCUUAUUGAGGUAUUUUUAAUGUUUAGAGAUGCCUUGAAGAGCGUGAAAUUAAAUUGCACAAACUACGACAAAAUAUAAAUGCGAAUCAAGCCGCAUCCACUCCAGUUAGGAAGACACAAUUGGCAUAUGUUGACUCUGUAGCAAAACCACCUCGCGGUGUAGCUAGGCGACAGGUAUAUUGAAUUUAAACUAUUUAUACAAUAUUGUAUCUUUUCAUCGGUGUAUAUUUUAUUAAUAGGCGAAAUACCACACUCCUUCUGACACUAAACGUAAUAUUUUAAACAAAUCAAUGAUGGGAGGAAAUUCUACUGCAGAAGCUUUAUCUGCUAACAAUAGGUCUACUGUCAUGGCAACCGGCAUACCUGUCGCUUUGAAUUCUAAUCAUAGUGCAUCGUCUUCUGCUGCACGUACGUAAAUCUGUAUCAUAUCAAUUUUUUGAAUAUGGAAAUUUUUUGUGUGAAAAUAUUGAGUUUCCGACUCAAAAUAACAACUUUUCAUUUAUUACUUGUAAUCAAAUUUAUUUUCUCUAACAUUUUUUUAAUGAUUGACUGACAAGGCAAGUUAACAUUGUUGAUAUUUCUAUCAAAAGUGUGAUUUUUUCCAUUGAUUUCAUUGUGCAUAAUAUUUGAAUAUUUUUUCAAUUAAAAAAAUUGAACGGUUCUUAACUAUAUUAAGAGAAAACUUAUUUUUAAUAGUCACAUGUUUGUAAUUCACAUAAGAAAUCUUUUAAUUUAUAUUUAUUUCAGAUUAACUUAUAUCAUUAUAUUUUCACACAAACUAUUAUAGUAUUUGAAAAAAUGGCCGUGAACUUUGUAAACUAAAUAUUUGUAAUAUUAUUUUUGAAAUGUGCUUUUUUUUGGUUGAAGAGGAGACAUCUCUUUGUCCACACUUAUUAUAAUAUUAAUUAAAAAGAAGUUUUUCCGUAAAACACAUUUAAUGUGUGUAUUAGUAAACUUUAAAAACUGUACUUUAUUUUUUAAGAUUAUUAACCAUUCCAAGAACUAUUAGAAACGAAUUAUUUUCCUAUUAACUAAAGAUUUGGCACUUAAGAGGACGUUAUACCCACAUCUACUAUUUCAGUUCAGCUACCAGGUACUAAGCAGUAAACAAUGCUUAUGCAGAGUAAGUAAAACUAGCUCAAUUUUGACUUUAGAUCUAUUAUAAAAUGUAUAGAGAACAAUAUUUCGGAGGGAAUGUAUUAGGUGCUUUAGAAUUGUUUUAAAAAAUAACAGUUAUUCAAGAAACAAAAAAAAAGUUCUGUAUAUUUUGAAUAAUACAAUAACUCUAAAUGAUAUUCCCUCCAAAAUAUUAUUCUCUUUAAAUUUUAUAAUAGAUACUUUUACUCUAAAAUUGAAACUAAGCAAGUUUUACUUAUACUGCGUAAGCAUGGUUUUUGCGUGUUACCCGGUAGUUGUACUGAGACAGUAGAUAUGGGUAUAACAUCCUCUUAAUUAAUUUUCUAUAUUUACAUUCUCAAUUCUAAUUUUGAAUGAAAUUCUGGCUUUAAAAACUGUUUAAAUUAUUCAUAACAUUAAUAUUAAAAUUUUCAAUAUUUUAAUUUAAAAAAUACCAAUAUGUUAAUUUUUUUUUUUGAAUUUACAUCCCUAACUAUUAUCAUUAACUGUAAUCAUUCAUUUAUUAUAGGCGGUUAUUAUAGACUUUUUUUAUAUAAUUUUUUUAUAACAUAGUAUGAUAAAUUAUUGUUUAUUGUGUAUUUAUAAUUUUAGUGAAGAAGAAAAAAGCACCUUUAAUGCAAAAAGCAUUACAACUCAUUAAGUCUACACGCAGGCGUUAAAUCAUCAUCAUUCUACACUUUAAUUUCAUGUGUCCAUGUGUGUUUGUGUGUGUGUGUGUGUGUGUGUUUUGUAUAAUAAUAAUACAAAUCUAGGUAUUUGAUGUUUUUUUUUAUUUUUAAAACUUAUUUUACCCUUAAGGUUCUAGGAAUUGAAGUUAAUAUAAAACUAAAUUUGUAUAUGUCUGUGAUUAACUGAAUUUUGAAUUGUAUAUUUUUUGUUUCUUAAAUAGCAGUAAGAUUACUUAAUAUGUGAACACAUUUUAGUUAUAAAUUAUAAUAUUAUAAACAAGGUUGGAAAUUAUUCUAAUUAAUUACCUAUUUUAAUAUGAAUUGUAUUUUAAUUUUUAGCUAUAUAGGGUCAUCCAAAUUUACUAUGAAUACUUAUUUCAGAAAAAGUAAUUUAAAAACUUAAAAAUAUUACAUUGACCUUAUUUUUGAAGGUUGAAAACAAAACUAAUUUUUAAUUUUCAAUAUUUAUUGAAAUUCCAUAAAUAAAUGAAAUUUGAGUUUAAAUAAAUUUUUAAUUUCAAUCAAUGAAUUUGUAAGACCCUGUAUGUGUACUCAGUUACUUAUAGGAUGAUCCAUUUAUCACCCUCCACUUAUUUUCUUUGAGGAUUUUAAAUAAAUUUGAUUUUUGUUUUCCUUCAACCAUUAUGGAACUGUUUAAGAUUCAUCAGAUACUUUUUAUUGAAAUUAAUGACUGUGUUCUUAUGUCACACUUGUUUACUUCUCCUAUAGAUACUGCCGCAGACUGUUGUCUGUUAGUUUCACUCACAGUGAUAGCCGAGACACCGUGGCAUCUAUCACUACAGUUGUUCUCAAACUCCUAAGUGCACCACACCAAUCAACCCAUCUCACUGUUUAAUAACUACAACAAGCGUGUAAUGCAUGUAUGUUAAUAUAGUAAAUCCAAGUUUAGAAGUUUUUAGUUAUAAAAAUAAAUGUUUAGUAAACAAUGCUUUUUAUUGACUGGUCCUAAAAUGCAGAUAAUAAAAAUUAAUCUUUCAAAUUUGAUAUAAAAAAGUAUAAUUUUCAAUUUAAUUAUUGAUAUGCAUAACACUUAUAUCAUAUUUACUGUUUAUGAGUUAUUAAGUUUAUAACUGUUUAAAAUGUAGACGAAAAGAAAAAGAAUGGGUUGUCAUCUAAAUGUAUCUAAAUCUAUUAAUUUAAUUUAUCAUUUAAAAAAUGGAUAUGAAGUUUAUUUCAUUUUCCAACUCUGUCUAAACUUUAAACUACCAUAACUUAACAAUUGUAAAUCAGUAUGCAAAAAAAAAAAACAAUUUGUUUU